rnacentral:rRNA from 1 species
CAGUCGCCUCGGUAAUACGAAGGGUGCAAGCGUUACUCGGAAUUACUGGGCGUAAAGCGUGCGUAGGUGGUGGUUUAAGUCCGUUGUGAAAGCCCUGGGCUCAACCUGGGAAUUGCAGUGGAUACUGGGUCACUAGAGUGUGGUAGAGGAUAGUGGAAUUUCCGGUGUAGCAGUGAAAUGCGUAGAGAUCGGAAGGAACAUCUGUGGCGAAGGCGGCCAUCUGGGACAACACUGACGCUGAGGCACGAAAGCGUGGGGAGCAAACAGGAUUAGAUACCCCCGUAGUCCCUGUCUCUUAUAC